ACUCCUACGGGAGGCAGCAGUGGGGAAUAUUGCACAAUGGGCGCAAGCCUGAUGCAGCCAUGCCGCGUGUGUGAAGAAGGCCUUCGGGUUGUAAAGCACUUUCAGUCGGUGAGGAAGGUAGUGUAGUUAAUAGCUGCAUUUAUUGAUCGUUAGCGAACAGAAGAAGCACCGGCUAACUCCGUGCCAGCAGCCGCGGUAAUACGGAGGGUGCGAGCGUUAAUCGGAAUUACUGGGCGUAAAGCGCAUGCAGGUGGUUUGUUAAGUCAGAUGUGAAAGCCC
rnacentral:rRNA from 1 species